AGCACAUCAAAAAGCUCAUCCACCACAAUCAAGUCAGCUUCAUCUCGGGGAUGCAAAGCUCGUUCAACAUACACAAGUCUAUAAACGUAAUUCACCACAUAAACAGAAC